rnacentral:lncRNA from 1 species
AUGGGCAGGGCUGGCUUGUCCCCGGGCGUCAGAGCUCCUGGAACAUUCACUCUUGGAAAGAACACACUGCACAAAAAUAGCAGCCUGGUGCCGAUGAACAUAUGCUGCUUCCCGGGGGGCGGCAGGGAGGGGCCAAGGCCCCUGAUGGGCUCAGGGCUGGAGGUUUCGCCGCUCCCCGGGAGGGCGUCUGUGUCGCCAGCACUGACUGGAGAUGGCAGACGGGCUUAUGAGGCACCUACUGUGUGCCAUUUACCUCUGUCUGUGGCCUGUGGCUUCCUGAGGACCUGCGGGCAGGCCGUGCUGCUGUCCUUCCUCCAGGAGGCUUGCGGUUGGACGGGGAGCUCAGAGAGGACCACCCGAACUGCUGUCCUUCCCCAGAAACCACUGCCCCCACCGGGAGAGAUGGGCCGUCCCCAUCUGUGGGUGGCAGCUCAGGCCUGGACCCGGAGACCCGUCUGCUGGAGGCGGGGAGGCUGGGGUGCCGACCCCCGAAGGAGCCAGCCCCACGCAGGAUGCUUCUCAGGCUUUGAUCAGCCAACUCCAUGCUGGCUGGGGAACUGAAGUGGAGCCCCCUUGAAAGGCGGAUGGGCCCCUUGCCCUUUCGGAAGCCAACACGUUUGAAGGGACCUGGAAUCUGAUUGUUCGCCGAUGGAGGCCAAGCUGCCGCACAUGUAAAUUUCCAAUUAAAACAGAAAUUAAUCCUCUCCCCCAACUACCUGCUAUCUCCAGCCGGAUGAGCAAAAGUUUUAUUCUGCUAAUUAAUGUUAUCACCCGUUAGCUUUAUUUACAUAAGCAGAUAUAAUUCACAUGGCUUUGCAGAAGCUGAUGGGGAAACUUAAAAAAAUUUUUUUUUAAGUUAAAAAAAUUAAUUACCUUGAUCCUCCCUCUUGUAUUCUAAUCACAGACUUGCAGCGUUCCUCUUUGGUGCUCCCCGAAACCCCUGGGUUGGCUCCUUCUUUGAUGAGUGGGAGCUUGUUCCAAAUGGAGAGAGAAGAAGUUGAAAAUUGAGCAGCUUGGAGGGGAAGCCAGUACCAGUCUUCAUAUGAAAGGCCCGAUGGAUGUGAUAAUUAUUUACGGUUUCUGGCUUUGGGUGUUUUUGUUACCCAGUUAAAUAGACUCCAAAUACCACAUUAAAAUCUUGCAAAGAUCCUGGCAGAUUAAUAAAUCACAGCAACUGCUCUGGCA